rnacentral:rRNA from 1 species
AGCCCAGAGCCUGAAUCAGUGUGUGUGUUAGUGGAAGCGUCUGGAAAGGCGCGCGAUACAGGGUGACAGCCCCGUACACAAAAAUGCACAUACUGUGAGCUCGAUGAGUAGGGCGGGACACGUGGUAUCCUGUCUGAAUAUGGGGGGACCAUCCUCCAAGGCUAAAUACUCCUGACUGACCGAUAGUGAACCAGUACCGUGAGGGAAAGGCGAAAAGAACCCCGGCGAGGGGAGUGAAAAAGAACCUGAAACCGUGUACGUACAAGCAGUGGGAGCCUCUUAAUGGGGUGACUGCGUACCUUUUGUAUAAUGGGUCAGCGACUUAUAUUCUGUAGCAAGGUUAACCGAAUAGGGGAGCCGAAGGGAAACCGAGUCUUAACUGGGCGUUAAGUUGCAGGGUAUAGACCCGAAACCCGGUGAUCUAGCCAUGGGCAGGUUGAAGGUUGGGUAACACUAACUGGAGGACCGAACCGACUAAUGUUGAAAAAUUAGCGGAUGACUUGUGGCUGGGGGUGAAAGGCCAAUCAAACCGGGAGAUAGCUGGUUCUCCCCGAAAGCUAUUUAGGUAGCGCCUCGUGAAUUCAUCUCCGGGGGUAGAGCACUGUUUCGGCAAGGGGGUCAUCCCGACUUACCAACCCGAUGCAAACUGCGAAUACCGGAGAAUGUUAUCACGGGAGACACACGGCGGGUGCUAACGUCCGUCGUGAAGAGGGAAACAACCCAGACCGCCAGCUAAGGUCCCAAAGUCAUGGUUAAGUGGGAAACGAUGUGGGAAGGCCCAGACAGCCAGGAUGUUGGCUUAGAAGCAGCCAUCAUUUAAAGAAAGCGUAAUAGCUCACUGGUCGAGUCGGCCUGCGCGGAAGAUGUAACGGGGCUAAACCAUGCACCGAAGCUGCGGCAGCGACACUAAGUGUUGUUGGGUAGGGGAGCGUUCUGUAAGCCUGUGAAGGUGUACUGUGAGGUAUGCUGGAGGUAUCAGAAGUGCGAAUGCUGACAUAAGUAACGAUAAAGCGGGUGAAAAGCCCGCUCGCCGGAAGACCAAGGGUUCCUGUCCAACGUUAAUCGGGGCAGGGUGAGUCGACCCCUAAGGCGAGGCCGAAAGGCGUAGUCGAUGGGAAACAGGUUAAUAUUCCUGUACUUGGUGUUACUGCGAAGGGGGGACGGAGAAGGCUAUGUUGGCCGGGCGACGGUUGUCCCGGUUUAAGCGUGUAGGCUGGUUUUCCAGGCAAAUCCGGAAAAUCAAGGCUGAGGCGUGAUGACGAGGCACUACGGUGCUGAAGCAACAAAUGCCCUGCUUCCAGGAAAAGCCUCUAAGCAUCAGGUAACAUCAAAUCGUACCCCAAACCGACACAGGUGGUCAGGUAGAGAAUACCAAGGCGCUUGAGAGAACUCGGGUGAAGGA